GUCCACGCCCUAAACGAUGUCUACUAGUUGUUGGGUCUUAAUUGACUUAGUAACGCAGCUAACGCGUGAAGUAGACCGCCUGGGGAGUACGGUCGCAAGAUUAAAACUCAAAGGAAUUGACGGGGACCCGCACAAGCGGUGGAUGAUGUGGAUUAAUUCGAUGCAACGCGAAAACCUUACCUACCCUUGACAUGUACAGAAUGCCGAAGAGAUUUGGCGGUGCUCGCAAGAGAACUGUAACACAGGUGCUGCAUGGCUGUCGU
rnacentral:rRNA from 1 species